CUUGUGGGUUGCCUUCAAGCUUUUGGCAGUCUGUUUUGAUGAAUGCAAUUAGAUUUCAUGUCUUUUGUGCCCUGAAUGUAAUAUGCAUGGCUCCUUCAAUAUUGUAAACUAGAUUAACAUGAUAUAUAUAGCUAUCAUGUUUUGUACAACUAGAUUAAUAUGAUAUAGCUGUCAUGUUUUGUACGGACAUUAGCAGGUGGAAGAACUAUACCUUAUUUUAUUCCAAAGCUGACAUGUCUAAGCUACUACUAUGCUGAGAUAAGUUGAGAUGUUUGUUUUUAUGGAUACUUUGUGUACUAGCGCACCAAGGGACAUCAUAUCAUCUGUACACAUGCCGCC
rnacentral:lncRNA from 1 species